UAGAGCGGGUCACGUGAGCGCCUCGCCUGGAUGUGAGUUUCAGCCAGACCUGUGGAUAUCUGGGCUUUGGGCUGUAUGAUCAUUGAGAUGGCCACUGGAAAUCCCUAUCUUCCUAGUAGUUCUGAUUUGGAUUUACUCCAUAAAAUUGUUUUGAAAGUGGAUUCAUGCCAGAACUGAAAGCUAAAUUACUGCAGGAAGCAAAAGUCAAUUCAUUAAUAAAGCCAAAAGAGAGUUCUAAAGAAAAUGAACUCAGGAAAGAUGAAAGAAAAACAGUUUAUACCAAUACACUGCUAAGUAGUUCAGUUUUGGGAAAGGAAAUAGAAAAAGAGAAAAAGCCCAAGGAGAUCAAAGUCAGAGUUAUUAAAGUCAAAGGAAGAAGAGGAGAUAUCUCAGAACCAAAAAAGAAAGAGUAUGAAGGUGGACUUGGUCAACAGGAUGCAAAUGAAAAUGUUCAUCCUAUGUCUCCAGAUACAAAACUUGUAACCAUUGAACCACCAAACCCUAUCAAUCCCAGCACUAACUGUAAUGGCUUGAAAGAAAAUCCACAUUGCGGAGGUUCUGUGACAAUGCCACCCAUCAAUCUAACUAACAGUAAUUUGAUGGCUGCAAAUCUCAGUUCAAAUCUCUUUCACCCCAGUGUGAGAGCCAAAUGGAGAAGGGUAUAUUUAAUGAGCGAACAGGUCACAGUGACCAAAUGGCAAAUGAGAACAAAAGGAAGCUGAAUUUUUCCAGAUCUGACAGGAAAGAAUUCCAUUUUCCAGAAUUGCCUGUCACAAUACAGUCAAAAGAUACAAAAGGAAUGGAAGUUAAACAGAUAAAAAUGCUGAAGAGGGAGUCAAAGAAAACAGAGUCAUCUAAGAUACCAACUUUACUUAACGUGGAUCAAAAUCAAGAAAAACAAGAGGCUAAAGAAAUCCUGACAAAAGAAUCCAACGUGCAAGAGGUUCGAUGUCCAGUUACUGUCUGUGGAGAUGUGCAUGGGCAAUUUCAUGAUCUCAUGGAACUGUUUAGAAUUGGUGGCAAAUCACCAGAUACAAAUUACUUGUUUAUGGGAGAUUAUGUUGACAGAGGAUAUUAUUCAG
rnacentral:sRNA from 1 species